AGGUGUAUUAGGACUAAAUUAUGUUGUGUAUUCGGACUAGAUGAUGAGGUGUAUUAGGACUAGAUGAUGAGGUGUAUUAGGACGAGAAGAUGAGGUGUAUUAGGACUACAUGAUGAGGUGUAUUAGGACUACAUGAUGUUGUGUAUUAUGACUACAUGAUGAGGUGUAUUAGGACUAGGUGAUGAGGUGUAUUAGGACUACAUGAUCAGGUGUAUUAGGACUACAUGAUGAGGUGUAUUAGGACUAGAUGAUGAGGUGUAUUAGGACUACAUGAUGAUGUGUAUUAGGACUACACAAUGAGGUGUAUUCGGACUACACGAUGAGGUGUA
ensembl:lncRNA